rnacentral:tRNA from 1 species
GCUGGAAUAGCUCAAUUGGCAGAGCAGCGCCCUCGUACAGCGCAGGUUCCCGGUUCGACUCCGGGCUCCAGCUCCA